rnacentral:rRNA from 1 species
AUUGAACGCUGGCGGCAGGCUUAACACAUGCAAGUCGAACGGAGCGGCGGACGGGGGCGUAAUGCCUAGGAAUCUGCCUGGUCGCGGUGGCUAACGUCCGGAAACGGGCGCUAAUACCGCUUACUAUCAGAUUAGCCUCGGUCGGAGUAGCUAGUUGGUGGGGUAAAGGCCUACCAAGGCGACGAUCCGUAACUGGUCUGAGAGGAUGAUCAGUCACACUGGGACUGGGACACGGUCCAGACUCCUACGGGAGGCAGCAGUGGGGAAUAUUGGACAAUGGGCGAAAGCCUGAUCCAGCCAUGCCGCGUGUAUGAAGAAGGUCUUCGGGUUGUAAAGCACUUUAAGUAGAGAGGCGUUACCAGCAGAAUAAGCACCGGCUAACUACGUGCCAGCAGCCGCGGUAAUUC